rnacentral:rRNA from 1 species
CAGCAGCCGCGGGAAAACGUAGGUGGCAAGCGUUGUCCGGAAUUAUUGGGCGUAAAGCGCGCGCAGGCGGAUCAGUCAGUCCGUCUUAAAAGUUCGGGGCUUAACCCCGUGAUGGGAUGGAAACUGCUGAUCUAGAGUAUCGGAGAGGAAAGUGGAAUUCCUAGUGUAGCGGUGAAAUGCGUAGAUAUUAGGAAGAACACCAGUGGCGAAGGCGACUUUCUGGACGAAAACUGACGCUGAGGCGCGAAAGCCAGGGGAGCGAACGGGAUUAGAGACCCGCGUAGUCCCUGUCUCUUAUACC